GACGAACCGUGCGAACGUUGUUCGGAAUCACUGGGCUUAAAGGGCGCGUAGGCGGGUCACAAAGUCCGGGGUGAAAUCCCCCAGCUUAACUGGGGAAGUGCCUUGGAUACUGGUGACCUCGAGGAGGGUAGGGGCCUCUGGAACGUUGGGUGGAGCGGUGAAAUGCGUUGAUAUCCAACGGAACUCCGGUGGCGAAAGCGGGGUUCUGGACCCUUUCUGACGCUGAGGCGCGAAAGCCAGGGGAGCAAGCAGG
rnacentral:rRNA from 1 species